GUGUUGGUGUGGCACAAAAGAAAUCUGCAGAGGAAAAUCUGACUGAACUGGCUUUUAGGGAAUCCCUAAAAGAAAUUCAAAGGAAAGCGGUUGCCACUUAAACUCAGAUAAGCAGCUCAGCAACCUGACGAUGUGUCUGGACACUUCAGAGGAAUGUGAAAAAGAAAUAAACGCCUCAAAGUGAAAACUUUUGCCCUGCAGCACAACUGUGCUGUGGGAAAAGGGAGUCAGGACUUGGCUGAACCAGCUGCUACCUGGCACUGCAUCUGUUCCAGUGGAUGAAAGAGGAAGCCCAAGAUGAUGGAUAUGGCAGCAACCACAUCACUGCUUGUGGAAUAAAAUAGGCAGCUGCAGCAUAGAGUGGUAUAAACACAACACUUAAAAAGGACCUUUGAUCCCUUUUUAGCAAGAGAUGCUUCCCAAACACUUGGAACAAAAUCCUAUCAAGCCUGAGCUAAAUUUUGGUGCUUGGGAGCAAACCUUUGUAUCACAAGGUCUGAGUUUGGGUCUGAAUAGAGCCGUGGGGAGGAUAUUAGUGGGCAAUUUUUAUACAGAAAUGACAAGCACACUGGAAAUUUUGCAGCCUGGCCUCCAGAGAAUUCAUCAGAUUUAAGUAUUACUGCAGCAUUGCAUUUGAGUGAAAGGGCAAAGAGAAGGAGCAUUUAUCUUAUCAGAAUAUUGACUUUCUUGCAAUAUUGUUGUUCUGCUUUCUGGGGAUAUAAUAACACCAAGUCGUGU